ensembl:snRNA U6 U6 spliceosomal RNA
GUGCUCGCUUUGGCAGCACAUGUACUAAAAUUGGAGCAAUACGGAGAAGAUUCGUGUGUUCCCUGUACAAGAAUAGGACUCACAUUUCUGCCAUGUUCCAGAUGUUU